GCCUAACACAUGCAAGUCGAGCGGCAGCACGGGAAGCUUGCUUCCUGGUGGCGAGCGGCGGACGGGUGAGUAAUGCAUAGGAAUCUGCCCGGUAGUGGGGGAUAACCUGGGGAAACCCAGGCUAAUACCGCAUACGUCCUACGGGAGAAAGCAGGGGCUCUUCGGACCUUGCGCUAUCGGAUGAGCCUAUGUCGGAUUAGCUGGUUGGUGAGGUAAUGGCUCACCAAGGCGACGAUCCGUAGCUGGUCUGAGAGGAUGAUCAGCCACAUCGGGACUGAGACACGGCCCGAACUCCUACGGGAGGCAGCAGUGGGGAAUAUUGGACAAUGGGCGCAAGCCUGAUCCAGCCAUGCCGCGUGUGUGAAGAAGGCCCUCGGGUUGUAAAGCACUUUCAGUGGGGAAGAAAGCCUUCCGGUUAAUACCCGGGAGGAAGGACAUCACCCACAGAAGAAGCACCGGCUAACUCCGUGCCAGCAGCCGCGGUAAUACGGAGGGUGCGAGCGUUAAUCGGAAUUACUGGGCGUAAAGCGCGCGUAGGUGGCUUGAUAAGCCGGUUGUGAAAGCCCCGGGCUCAACCUGGGAACGGCAUCCGGAACUGUCGGAUUAGAGUGCAGGAGAGGGAAGUAGAUUCCCGUGUAGCGUGUAAUGCGUAGAGAUCGGGAGGAAUACCAGUGCGAAGGCGGCUUCUGGACUGACACUGACACUGAGGUGCGAAAGCGUGGGUAGCAAACAGGAUUAGAUACCCUGGUAGUCCACGCCGUAAACGAUGUCGACUAGCCGUUGGGUCCUUCGCGGACUUUGUGGCGCAGUUAACGCGAUAAGUCGACCGCCUGGGGAGUACGGCCGCAAGGUUAAAACUCAAAUGAAUUGACGGGGGCCCGCACAAGCGGUGGAGCAUGUGGUUUAAUUCGAUGCAACGCGAAGAACCUUACCUACCCUUGACAUCCUCGGAAUCCGCCAGAGAUGGCGGAGUGCCUUCGGGAACCGAGAGACAGGUGCUGCAUGGCUGUCGUCAGCUCGUGUUGUGAAAUGUUGGGUUAAGUCCCGUAACGAGCGCAACCCUUGUCCCUAUUUGCCAGCGAUUCGGUCGGGAACUCUAGGGAGACUGCCGGUGACAAACCGGAGGAAGGUGGGGACGACGUCAAGUCAUCAUGGCCCUUACGGGUAGGGCUACACACGUGCUACAAUGGUCAGUACAAAGGGUUGCGAACUUGCGAGAGUGAGCCAAUCCCAGAAAGCUGAUCUCAGUCCGGAUCGGAGUCUGCAACUCGACUCCGUGAAGUCGGAAUCGCUAGUAAUCGUGAAUCAGAAUGUCACGGUGAAUACGUUCCCGGGCCUUGUACACACCGCCCGUCACACCAUGGGAGUGGACUGCACCAGAAGUGGUUAGCCUAACCUUCGGGAGGGCGAUCGCCACGGUGUGGUUCAUGACUGGGGUGAAGUCGUAACAAGGUAGCCGUAGGGGAACCUGCGGCUGGAUCACC
rnacentral:rRNA from 1 species